rnacentral:rRNA from 1 species
AGAGUUUGAUCCUGGCUCAGAUUGAACGCUGGCGGCAUGCCUAACACAUGCAAGUCGAACGGCAGCACGGGCUUCGGCCUGGUGGCGAGUGGCGGACGGGUGAGUAACGCGUAGGAAUCUGUCCUUGAGUGGGGGAUAACCCAGGGAAACUUGGGCUAAUACCGCAUGAGCCCUGAGGGGGAAAGCGGGGGACCGAGAGGCCUCGUGCUGAAGGAGGAGCCUGCGUCCGAUUAGCUAGUUGGUGGGGUAAAGGCCUACCAAGGCGACGAUCGGUAGCUGGUCUGAGAGGACGAUCAGCCACACUGGGACUGAGACACGGCCCAGACUCCUACGGGAGGCAGCAGUGGGGAAUUUUUGGCAAUGGGGGCAACCCUGACCAAGCAAUGCCGCGUGUGUGAAGAAGGCCUUCGGGUUGUAAAGCACUUUCAGCGGGGAAGAAAGUAUCUGGGCGAAUACCCUGGGUAUUUGACGUGAACCGCAGAAGAAGCACCGGCUAACUUCGUGCCAGCAGCCGCGGUAAUACGAAGGGUGCAAGCGUUAAUCGGAAUUACUGGGCGUAAAGGGUGCGUAGGCGGUUUGUUAAGUCUGUCGUGAAAUCCCCGGGCUCAACCUGGGAAUGGCGAUGGAUACUGGCAAGCUAGAGUGUGUCAGAGGAUGGUGGAAUUUCCGGUGUAGCGGUGAAAUGCGUAGAGAUCGGAAGGAACAUCAGUGGCGAAGGCGGCCAUCUGGGACAACACUGACGCUGAAGCACGAAAGCGUGGGGAGCAAACAGGAUUAGAUACCCUGGUAGUCC